GCUCCAGCCAGGGCCGCGGUGAGCCUGCACGUCACGGCUACUCAAAACCAAGCACGUCCCGAAAGCGGUGUUUUCUGCGUCUGGGAGGUUUUUGCAUCCUCAGUUCCCACCGCUGGGGCUGGCGGCGACCAACUCGCGGACCUGUCGCAACCGAAGAGCUGUCAUUUCAUCGCGGAGAUUCAGAUGAAUUGAUCCACUCCUUAGCGGACGGGGCACAUCUCAGUUCCCGAAAUGCUGCGUGUCCCCGACUGGAACAAUACUAGUUUUUCUCAGCGAGGCUGCAAUUAACAUCUUGUUUGUUCUGGCUAGAUACAGGCUUUGUCAGGACCGCGGUGCGGCGACCGAGGUUGGGCAUCUUGCAUUGCUUUCUGCAUGGCAAUGGGAUCAUGAUUGUGGGGUCUAAACUUUUGUUUUCUUAAUGUAUCUGAUUCUUUUUUAAGUUUCCCUAGUAACAGGUUUUGUGGACAGGAGGAGGGAAAAAAACGAGGGAAAGGGGGAGGAAAAGCUUCAGAUUCUCGAUUUAACCGCAACAAAAAGGGUGAAUUUCCACCACUCCCCACCUUAUUUAUUUAUUUAUUUGCCCCCUGGACAGUUGGCUGACAAGUGUUUGAUGAACUAGCUUCAGAUACAAUGCUGCAAAAGGUCAUUCGCCUACUGAUUAUGUUUCUACUUGUAAACGCAGUUGGUGGUUUGCAAAACAAGUGGCAAAAUAGUGUGGUGAUUCGGUGGGGGCGACCAGAAUGGGUAAUUCCUAUGAAGUGCCAGAGUCUAAGGGUGAGUGGCUUGAGCGGCAGGUGAAGUUGAAUAAAACAAAUUUCCAUCA